GACGAACGCUGGCGGCGUGCUUAACACAUGCAAGUCGAACGGAAAGGCCCUGCUUUUGUGGGGUGCUCGAGUGGCGAACGGGUGAGUAACACGUGAGUAACCUGCCCUUGACUUUGGGAUAACUUCAGGAAACUGGGACUAAUACCGGAUAGGAGCUCCUGCUGCAUGGUGGGGGUUGGAAAGUUUCGGCGGUUGGGGAUGGACUCGCGGCUUAUCAGCUUGUUGGUGGGGUAGUGGCUUACCAAGGCUUUGACGGGUAGCCGGCCUGAGAGGGUGACCGGCCACAUUGGGACUGAGAUACGGCCCAGACUCCUACGGGAGGCAGCAGUGGGGAAUAUUGUACAAUGGGCGGAAGCCUGAUGCAGCAACGCCGCGUGCGGGAUGACGGCCUUCGGGUUGUAAACCGCUUUCGCCUGUGACGAAGCGUGAGUGACGGUAAUGGGUAAAGAAGCACCGGCUAACUACGUG
rnacentral:rRNA from 1 species